rnacentral:rRNA from 1 species
UACAGAGGCCCCAAGCAUUACCCGGAAUCACUGGGCGUAAAGGGUGUCUAGGCGGCCAUAUUAGUCUUUUGUCAAAUCUAUGGGCUUAACCUGUAGCGCGCAAGGGAAACGGUAUGGCUCGAGGGCGCAAGAGGUGCACGGAACUCAUGGUGGAGGGGUGAAAUCCGUUGAUAUCAUGGGGAACACCAAAGGCGAAGGCAGUGCACUGGUACGUUCCUGACGCUCAAACACGAAAGCCAGGGUAGCGAACGGG